GGGGAAUCUUCCGCAAUGGACGAAAGUCUGACGGAGCAACGCCGCGUGAGUGAAGAAGGUCUUCGGAUUGUAAAGCUCUGUCGUUUGGGACGAACGUGGAUUGUGUGAAUAAUGCAAUCUAAUGACGGUACCAAAGGAGGAAGCCACGGCUAACUACGUGCCAGCAGCCGCGGUAAUACGUAGGUGGCAAGCGUUGUCCGGAAUUAUUGGGCGUAAAGGGCGUGUAGGUGGAUUCUUAAGUCGUGUGUCUAAGUGCGGUGCUCAACACCGUAUGGGCGCAGGAAACGGGGAAGCUUGAGUGCAGGAGAGGAAAGUGGAAGUGCAGGUGUAGAGGUGAAAGGCGUAGAUAUGGGGAGGAGCGGCAGUGGCGAAGGCGAGGUUCUGGACUGUGUCUGACGCUGAGGCGCGAAAGGCAGGGGAGCGAACG
rnacentral:rRNA from 1 species